GAAGAAAAAAGUUCAGAGGAAGGAUUAUCAGGAAAAAAGUUGCAGCAAAAGGCUAUUACUGAAUACUUUUCGUUACCGGAGGGUGUGUGAAUCGGAGCAGCGGCUGCCACGUGCGCAAAACGCUCAUGGCGCAGCAAGGUUUUUCCAAGCAGCGGCAGUGGGCUCUUCCCCGCCCCCCCGCCCGGGGAGCGGGACGCCACUGCAAGAGCCCAAAUCCAAACCUGACCUGGAGGCACAGUCUUGCAGGCUCUUUGAGUCCAGGACACUCCCCAGGGCCAUCUGGGGCUGCCCGGGAUGCUACAGCCGGCAGAAGACGCUACUGGCGUCCCUGAUGUUUGGUCAUUUUCAAUGCCAAUAACUAAGCUACAAUGGUUCUCCCACACCUGGAAGC
rnacentral:lncRNA from 1 species